rnacentral:rRNA from 1 species
AUCGAACGCUGGCGGCAGGCCUAACACAUGCAAGUCGAACGAGUGGCGGACGGGCGAGUAAUGUCUGGGAAACUGCCCGACGGAGGGGGAUAACUACUGGAAACGGUAGCAAAUACCGCAUACCAUCGGAUGUGCCCAGAUGGGAUUAGCUAGCAGGUGGGGUAACGGCUCACCUAGGCGACGAUCCCUAGCUGGUCUGAGAGGAUGACCAGCCACACUGGAACUGAGACACGGUCCAGACUCCUACGGGAGGCAGCAGUAGGGAAUCUUCGACAAGGGGCGCAAGCCUGAUGCAGCCAUGCCGCGUGUGUGAAGAAGGCCUUCGGGUUGUAAAGUACUGUCGGCGGGGAGGCGUUACUCACAGAAGAAGCACCGGCUAACUCCGUGCCAGCAGCCGCGGUAAUAC